GAUGAAGAACGUAGUGAAAUGCGAUAAGUAAUGUGAAUUGCAGAAUUCAGUGAAUCAUCGAAUCUUUGAACGCACCUUGCGCCCUUUGGCUAUUCUGAAGGGCAUGCCUGUUUGAGUAUCAUGAACACCUCAACUCUCAUGGUUUGCCAUGAUGAGCUUGGACUUUGGGGGUCUUGCUGGCCUACGGUCAGCUCCUCUCAAAUGAAUCAGCUUGCCAGUGUUUGGUAGAGUCGCAGGUGUGAUAACUAUCUACGCUUGUGGUUUUCUGCCAGAUAACCUUCAGUGAUGGAGGUUCGCUGGAGCUUAUAAAUGUCUCUCCCCAGUGAGGACAGCUUUUUGAACGUUUGAUCUCAAAUCAGGUAGGACUACCCGCUGAACUUAAGCAUAUCAAUAAGCGGAGGA
rnacentral:misc_RNA from 1 species